GCAGAGGGCUCUACUACUAACGCCUGGAUAACCGCGCUGAUUCGAAUGCAGGAGCUUUACUGUUUAGCCCUUAUCUUUAUACAUCCAUGGUUUAUCCACAGUUGUAAGGUUUAUUUAUGGAUAUUGAUUUAAGAGCCAUUGGAGAUCAUUUACGAUCAUUAGCGGACCAUUUAGAGAAUGGAGAACCAAAAGACUAUGUCCAGUUUCGUGUGGAACGAUGUAUAGAGGACUUGGCUCAGCUCGACAUGGAUGUGGAUGUUAACCCAGCUGUGUUUGAGAGUCUUCAAGAGGUUGCCCGCCAACUUGAAAUCCUCUCGGAAACAGAGGAGGCGACCCUUGGGCGUCCAUCUUACAUGUUGCCCCUAAACGUUAUUGAAGCACAUCUUCGUUGGGGCCACACCGCUGGGGACAUCGCGCAGGUGUUCGGGGUGUGCGAAAGAACAAUUCGUCGGAGGAUGACACAGAACGGGAUACGGGUCCAAGAUCUAUUAACUCUGUUAGAUGGCAACAGUUUGGAUGAAACUGUUACCCAAAUUCUACAGCAUCAUCCCAACUCUGGAUACAAAAUGAUGGUGGGGUACCUGAAUGCACAGGGACACGCAUACAAAGACAGCGUGUCCAGGAAUCCAUGCGGCGUGUUGAUCCAGGUGGAGUUUUGAUUCGCACUCUGCAGCUGAACCCAAGAAGGCGUAGGAAGUACUUUGUACCAGCACCGAACAGUUUAUGGCACAUCGACGGAAAUCACAAACUGAUUAGGUGGCGUUUUGUUGUGCAUGGUGGUAUUGACGGCUUUAGUCGUCUCAUCGUGUACUUGAGUGCUGCCACCAACAAUCGGGCAGCAACAGUUUUAAGAAGCUUUUUGGAAGCCGCCAAUGUCUACGGUGUGCCAUCACGUGUGAGGUCAGAUAAAGGUGGAGAAAAUGUUGACGUUGCACGCUACAUGGUGGCAAACCGAGGAGAGAACAGGAAUUCACACAUUGCUGGCAGGACUGUCCAUAAUCAAAGGAUAGAAAGGCUCUGGAGAGACGUUUAUGUAGGAGUGCUGGAUCUCUUCUACACAAUGUUUUUCAACCUAGAGAGAGAAGGCCUUCUCAAUCCUGACUGUGAAGUGCAUCUCUAUGCUCUGCACUGGUGCUUUGUGCCCCACAUACAGAAGCACCUGCAGUUUUUCCAGCAAGGCUGGAACUGCCACCGACUAAGCACUGAGGGAAACCGGUCCCCACUGCAACUGUGGACUCGCCAUGAGCGUGAGGCCCAGCAGGAACAUAUACAGGCUUGAUUGUUGACAUUGAGUUUGGAGUUGACUGGACUGGACCAUGUGCUCAUCGCCUGCCUCAUGUUAUGGUUCCUGAAGUUCAGCUGCAACGUUCACUGACUGACCAGGAAGUGGAAAGACUUCCAGACCCUGAUGGCCCUCUGUCCAAUGUGUGGAAUGUCUAUGUACAAACUGUGGGCUUAUUGACUGAAAUGCUACAGUAAAUGUGUGUGUGUAUCAAAAGUCUGUUGCUGUGGGAAAUGUAGUCUUUUAAAGUUUCGACUAGGACGAUUAGGUUACAAUAUUUGACUGAGUUACAUGAAGACGCUGGUACCAAGAUUCAGUAUAUUUCGAUUUUAAUACAAUAAAAAUUAGAUGGUAAUGAAGUUA